rnacentral:rRNA from 1 species
UACGAAGGGGGCUAGCGUUGUUCGGAAUCACUGGGCGUAAAGCGCACGUAGGCGGACUUUUAAGUCAGAGGUGAAAUCCCAAGGCUCAACCUUGGAACUGCCUUUGAUACUGGGAGUCUUGAGUUCGGGAGAGGUGAGUGGAACUGCGAGUGCAGAGGUGAAAUUCGUAGAUAUUCGCAAGAACACCAGUGGCGAAGGCGGCUCACUGGCCCGAUACUGACGCUGAGGUGCGAAAGCGUGGGGAGCAAACAGG